UUGACAAAGUACUUUGAAGGUCAAGAUGAAAAUGGCUGUGAGGAUCACACGACAGCUGUAUGGGUACAAAUGGUAGGAUCAAGAACAAACCCCCCUUACCCCCUAAACCCCUAAUGAAAGGGGAUACACCACAGAAGGUCCUGGAUCCCCCUCCAAGCAGCACUAAUAGUGGUACACAAUACAGGCCAACCCCUAAACCACGGCUGCUCAAACCUGGUCCCCGAAAGCAAACCCUGAACCAAGCUGGCAAUGCUGAUCAAGCCUCUAUGUGUAACACGAACAAUGCUGCCCCAAAUGGAUCCAGGGAGAACCAUUUUGUUCUUCCAGCCUGCCCACCCUGCUGUCCUUGUUUGUGUCAUAAUGACAGUAACAAUGGACCAAAGAAAACCCAAGAGCAUGAGGACGAUUAUAACAUUAACUUAGAGAAUAAAGAUAAUAAGCCACCCAGAAGAGCCCCUCCAGAUAUACCUCCUCUAUCUGCAAGACCUCUUCCCAAAACGCCAUGGCAGAUAAUGAAUG
ensembl:lncRNA